rnacentral:lncRNA from 1 species
CUACAGGGUGAGGAGCAGGGAAAGCUCUGAGAUGGGGACAGGAGGAAGGUGUCCGUCAUGCAAGGCACCGAGGCCUAAAGGACACUAGGCUGCUGAACCAGGAGCAGGACCUGCUACUGUGGAACAUGCUGAGCCCAGUUCUGGUCACAUCAUAAAUUUGAUUCUAUCUUGUUCCCUCUGAACCAGGAAGACUCCCUACAUCUGAUGAGAACAGAAAGAGACACGUUCCAUGGGAACUGCGAGAUGGGGCCGGGGUGUAGUUCCGUGCGCAACACCUGCUCAGCAUAGUAGAGGCCCUGGUCCCUUCCCCAGCUUGCAAAACAAGACGACGCCCCUGCAAGAUGGUAGCUCAUGAGGUGCCAGUGGGGAACAGCUUAGUAAGAGGGUCUCUUCCAGACAGUCCCUGCCAUCUGGGGUCCCCGCGGUGUCGAUCUGCAGAGGAGCCUUGAGCUGGGCUCAGCUAGCCGGUGCCAGCCUCGUCACUGAGCUGUGCUAAGUCUCAUGGCUUUCCUGAAGUACCUCAGGAGGAAGCUGCAGGGCAAACAGGUCACAACAGGCUGCAGGAGCUCAGCCGCCCAUAGGUGUCCUGACCCUCUGCAGAAAGGAGAAGCCAGAAAACAGUCUUUCCAGCUCUGCUCUCUGGCCCCAGGAGUUCUGCUCCACUCGACGCUUUGUGCCACUGCAGCUGUCCCAAUGACAGUGGAAAUACUCCCUGAGCACUCACGCAGUGUGUGAGCCUGUAUACCCCCCACUCCAUCUCAUCCUUCCUGCAGCCCUGUGACCUUGGCUCUCUUGUCCCACUUUAUGGUAGAGUGUGGUCUGCUUGAAAACUCCCCAAGGCCACACAGCUAGUAAACCAAAGGCCCAGACCUGUCUGCGGGCAGAGCCUGAGUUCUGCGCUAGGCCAUCCUGGGCCGCUUAAAACUGCAGCCUCAUUCCACAGGCCUCUAGCCCCCCUUCACUACACCGAGCUCCAUCUCUCUGAGUCUCAAACUGCAGUGGUCACAGGACAUUUGGGUCCAUCCUCUUGGACACUCUCCUAUGUCCCCAUUUACUCAUUCACACAUUCAACAGUUAUUCUCUGGGGUCUCCUCUGGGCCAGAUGCCACCGUCUCUGAGGCUGCAUGACUCCUUGCCACUCUAUCAAUGUGCAAUUAGGGGGGAAAAAAAAGGUGGUCUCAACCGGGUCUGGGGGAGGUGGGUGGGGCAGUUGCCAAUUCCAUUUAAACGUCCUCCAGGCCCGGCCAUGUACAGAGCAGUGUCUAGACUUUGGGGACUCUCACCAUGGUACACACAGCACAUGUUUGCCUCCAUGGUUUAAUCUGAAAGGCUUUUGCUUAACCAACAGAAAAAUAAGAGAGACUGUGAUAAGAAUUAUAAUCAAGGAAUAAACUAAAUA